UGAAACAGGAUUGGUGGAACAUAAAUUGAUGUGCGCAGCAAAUCAAGGACCAUAUCAAAGCCUGUUUCGCAUCCCUCUGAGCUUCCUAAGUGGAAUUAUGAUAGAUCUAGCACUGGACAAGCCCUUGGUGAAGAUAGUGAAGUGAUCCUAUAUCCUCAAGCAAUUUUCAAAGAUUAUUUUUGUGGCGGAAACAAUAUAAUGGU